CGUAGGGUGCGAGCGUUGUCCGGAAUCAUUGGGCGUAAAGAGCUCGUAGGCGGCUUGUCGCGUCGGAUGUGAAAACCCGGGGCUUAACCCCGGGCCGUGCAUUCGAUACGGGCGAGGCGUAGAGUUCGGCAGGGGAGGACUGGAAGUUCCUGGUGUAGCGGUGAAAUAGCGCAGAUAUCAGGAGGAACACCGGUGGCGAAGGCGGGUCGUCUGGGCCGAUACUGACGCUGAGGAGCGAAAGACGUGGGGAGCGAACAGGAUU
rnacentral:rRNA from 1 species